rnacentral:pre_miRNA from 1 species
CGGGGGAGGCGGGAUCCUGGGCUGUGUCCCGGCGCUCUGUGCUCCGGAAACCUGCGCUGCUGGAUUCGCGCUCCCGGCCCGCAGCCCCCU